ensembl:snRNA U2 U2 spliceosomal RNA
AUUGCUUCUCGGCCUUUUGGAUAAGAUCAAGUGUAGUAUCUGUUCUUAUCAGUUUAAUAUUUGGUACAUUUAUAAACACCUUUUUAAUAUUUUAAAUUUUAUUUACUGUCAUCUGGAGUAUAUUUAAUCACAUCAUAAUUCAGAAACAUGAGGCGGUCUGGUCUGUCA